rnacentral:rRNA from 1 species
CCUACGGGAGGCAGCAGUGGGGAAUUUUGGACAAUGGGCGCAAGCCUGAUCCAGCAAUGCCGCGUGAGUGAAGAAGGCCUUCGGGUUGUAAAGCUCUUUUGUCAGGGAAGAAACGGUCUACUCUAAUACAGUGGGCUAAUGACGGUACCUGAAGAAUAAGCACCGGCUAACUACGUGCCAGCAGCCGCGGUAAUACGUAGGGUGCAAGCGUUAAUCGGAAUUACUGGGCGUAAAGCGUGCGCAGGCGGUUAUAUAAGUCAGAUGUGAAAUCCCCGGGCUCAACCUGGGAACUGCAUUUGAGACUGUAUGGCUAGAGUGUGUCAGAGGGGGGUAGAAUUCCACGUGUAGCAGUGAAAUGCGUAGAUAUGUGGAGGAAUACCGAUGGCGAAGGCAGCCCCCUGGGAUAACACUGACGCUCAUGCACGAAAGCGUGGGGAGCAAACAGGAUUAGAUACCCUGGUAGUCCACGCCCUAAACGAUGUCUACUAGUUGUCGGGACUUAAUUGUCUUGGUAACGCAGCUAACGCGUGAAGUAGACCGCCUGGGGGAGGUACGGUCGCGAGAGUAAACGUAACGAAAGAAAGUUAGUACGGCGUGAGACGUAGCCGACGGACGACGACCGAGGGGAGGGUUAGGGAG